AUUUGAUCCUCUGUGGACAAAAGAACGGAGAUUUAUUGUCAGCUGCCAGGACUCUGAUGGUCCCCUGCUCUUCACAACCUAGGAACACACGUGACCAGGAAAGACGCCCAAGAAUGGCAGCUGCCUUGCAGCCAGGCAUGGGUCAGACACACCAAUAUGGCAGUCUGACAUCCAGAGGCCAACCCAGGCCAAGGAGAAAAACAAGAAACACCUGCAAAGACAAUUCCCAGGUCCCAGAAGGACGGACAAAUGUUUGGUGAGCUCAUUGGUCCCUUGUGGCUCGUGUACUAAUACUCUGGCUACACUGAGGAGGAUGAAUGCCUAAGACUGGGUGGGUCAGAUGUCUCCACAUCACAAAUGGAAACGACAUGCUGACAAGAUUUACCCUGAAAGCUUUCAAGCUGAGAAAGGGCUUGGUUUAGUUGGUUGGGAAGCAAGCAGGCCCGUAUGGUCAGGGAAGCUGAGGACCACUCUUAGAUAUCUGUACAAAAUCCUUCUGGUCUAUCUGGAAGAGAGGUUCAAUAUCAAAGGACUUGGUUUCUGUCUGUAUUCAAUAAGCUCUUCACUGGGGACAAAGAAUUGACUUGAUUAAGGCAAAUGAACCUUCUUUUUUCUUGAAGAAUUUAAUUAAGGGGAUCUAAUGGAAUCUUUGCCACUCGAAAGAAUUCAUCUCUCCAACAGAGAAGACCUUCCACAUUUGAGAACUCAGUACCUGAGAACAGUUAUGAUUCUUUGCAAACAACCUGAGGAUUCACAACAUGCAGUAAUUUACAAUUUUGCUGAUGCAUGAAUUUGAAUAUAGCGCAUGCUGCAAAGCUUGUGUGCAGGGGACAGAAUGAAGUGAGUGGUGGGGGAAGGGAUUUCGGAAGUGAAGCCAGUUCCCCAUCUCACAUGCACUCACAGUACUGAUUUCCCAGGAAAAAGCCUGCGGAGCAUGUCCUCCCCACCACCGGGACUGGAGGAAGGGGUGGCUCUAGGGGACUAUGGGAGUAGGCCACUGUCCCAGCAAAGGGGACAAAGAUGGGAGAGGGGCUAGGGGCACAAGGCUGGAACCCCAUCAUCUGUUCAUAGCUGUGUGGGCUGAUGAGGGAGGCCCCAGUCAGCAGGAGGGGAGGGGAGGCCUUGGGGCCACAGGACGGGGUCUGGCCCAUCCCAGCUUCCAGACCUCAGCAAUCUUGUUUCCUACUCCUGUCCCAUGGUAAAGGGCCACUACCAUUUCCCCCACCCUUCACUGCAAGUCUCAAGGAAAAGCCUGUGUUCAGGAGGGAGUUGCCAAGGCCUCAAGAAAGAUCCCUCCUGAGUGCCAGGGAUUACAGAUUCCCAGGGGACUUUCCUAAGGCCUCGGCCUGUCCCCUCCAGCCCUGCUCACCUCGGAAGCUCAGCUCACUGUCACUAACCCCACAGUCCUCUGCAGAGCUCUCCUUCUCCUGCUUGCUGCCGCCCCGGCUCCUCUUGACGCUCUUAUAGAACUGCCCCCAGCGGUGCCGCCCUGCGUCCUUCUUCAGGCGUUUCUCUUUGGCCCUUCUGUUCUGAAACCAAACCUGCCACACAAGCACAAGGGACACACUCAGGGGGCGUCCACCACAAACCCAAAGCCCCCAGGACCCCCAAGGCGAGCGGCUGGAAGCAGACUGGAGCACAGGUCUGGGAGUGCGAUGCACCCCGCCCCCUCUCCCCAGGUGGGCCUCAGAACUCUGUCUUCAGUUCUUGCAAAAGCCCUGGGGUCAGGCCCUGAGCCCAACCACCCGUGAGCUGAUGUCACUCAGGACACCUUCCACCCCUGCCCCUGGCCUGGGAUCCCCGGAGGGCACAGGAGUGCUGGCAUCUCACCUGUACGACCCUCAUGUCCAGGCCUGUCUCUGAGGACAGCUGCUCCCUCACGUGCCGGGCAGGCUUGGGGGAGUUCUUGUAUGCAUUCUUUAAUGUCUCCAGCUGCUUGGCUGUGAUGGUGGUCCGGGGCCGCUUAGCUCCAGCCUCUGAGUCAUCUGCAAGGAAAAACCACUGCUUACUGGCUUCGGCCUAUAUGCAGCAGCUGUGCCUCCUCCCACACCCCCCUUCCAUCCUUUCUGCACCUAAGCCUGCCUGCUGUAGGCAAGACAGUGCGAGGCACAGGGGACAUCAGAGUGGAGAGGUCCCCGCUCUCAUGGCACCAACUCCUGCACCACAGGCCUUUCCGAGCCACUGAAAAGUGAGGACAGCAGUCCUUUCUCCACUCAGCUCCCUGCCUCUCCCCUCCCCCUGCCAGCCCAGCUGCACAGAAGUCUCAUUAGAUUGAAUGAAUGUACCCAAUUCCACACAUGUCCCUGUCAUGACAGACACUCUGCUCUCACAUCCUCAUGAGUUCUUGCCAGAGCUGUGAAGGUGAACAGCCAGGUUGAAGUCUGUGUUCAAAGCCACCCUGGAUGCCCUCCCCUCUGUCUCAUCGGGAGUCUCCCAUUUCCCCACAGCCAUGUCACCUUUGCCCUGGCGUUGCUGGGCUCACAGCCAGGGGUGAGCUUGCACACCCAACAGUGUCUAAGCAGGUUUCUAAACUAUGGGUCAGAACCCACUCGUGGGCUGUAAAGUCAACUUAGUGGAUCAAAACUAAAAGAGGAAAUCAGAUGAAGAGAAUGGAAUGGCAAGAUCAUUUCAUUAAACUUCAGUUUUUAUUGUAUGAAUAUGUGUACUGAGAUGAAAUGUAAAAUGAGUUUUACUGUGGAUUGUAGUCAAAAUUUUAUGAGAAAACUAGUCUAAGGAAUGUUCUGGGCAACACACUGACUGAUCAACACAAAGUCCUCGACAGAUUUGGAGUGAACAAGCUCAAGUUCCUGUUAGUUAAAGUCUGGUUUGUUCCAUUCAGAGUCAGGUACAGAGAGGCGCGUGGGUGUGUUCGGAAGCACAGGUGAAUGUAAAGGUUUGUUUCCUCUCCCAGCACUUAGGCUUACUGCCCUUUUCUCCACCGUGCCCCUGGAGGACACAAAGAAUAAAGUCAGCAGCUGGCCUGGGCAGCUCUGCUCUCUGUGCUUGCUGACCUGUGUACCCCGGAAAGUGUCUCUGUGACAUUCCUGACUUCCUCUCUGUCUUUUCUCCUUUCUUUCCAUUCAAGAAAACCCUCUCAGAAACAAUAAUAGCCAACAUGUGUUAGCCCCUACCAUGUGCUGGUGUUGACUAAGGACUUUAUAUGCAUUCAGUCCUCACAAUCUACAAGGCUCUCCCUGGAGUCAGCAGACCUGGCUUCAAUGUUCUUGAUGAGUGAGUGACUUGGGCCAGUAACUCACUUCACCCUUGGAAGGUCCAGAGGGCAACACGGCCUGCCCUGGUCUUGGGAGGCACUAGAGGAAUGAAGCAGCUGUGCAGCCAGGACAUGCAUGCACACAGUGAGGGGGGACACACCCGUGCCUUCCCUUCUCCUCGGGCUGUUUUCUUCUCUCACGUGGCCACUGUCAUCCCGGAACUACUGUGGCCCAACUCCCUCCCAGAAGCCCUGAACCCGAAGGGUAGGGAUUCCAGAGCCCCUGCCGCAGAGACUACACUACUUAGAGACUCAUUCCAAAAGACAAAGGGGAACCUCCAAAAUGCCUUCCUUUUCAUUCUGAGGAGUCUGUCCCUUCUGUGCAUAUUUAUAGUCUACACGGGAGUGUCUGAUGCAACUUUGAAUUAUGCAAAUGGGAAAUAGUGCACUUGGAUACAAUCUUUAUAUUAAAAAAUGUGAAAUAAUGCAA